UUUUUUUUUUUUCCCGGGGAGUCGGCCUCGGGGCUCUGCUCUCCUACCUCAGUCUGCCCUACCCUGGAAUGGGGAAAAUGCGGACAUGCCACUCAGUCCGGCCGCGAACAGUGCUCCAGAACUCAGAGAGUUUUCCAGACGGGUGGAGAUCGCGUUCCCUGCCCGCCGAGGUCCCAUCGCUUCCCUGCUGGGAAGACAAAUGAGGCGCUUUAGCCGUCUCCACGGCCAGCCCCUCCCUCAUAACCCGAGAUUCUUUGUGGGCUCUUAGUCCAUAGCUGCCUUUGAGGUGGUGUAGACCUUGCUAACCAGGACGGCCCAGUAGGCAGAGCUCAUUUUUAUUCCUGUCUGCAAUCGUGCAAAAACGCCUCUUAUGGAAAAGCCAGAGCGCCAGGAGUCAGCAAAACACACUAAAGAUUGGGCAGUCACUGGGGAGAACGCAUGGUGGCGGGCGCCUGUUAAUUCCAGCUUCUCGAGAGGCUGAGGUAGGAGAAUGGCUUGAACAUAGGAGGCAGAGGUUGCAGUGAGCUGAGAUUGUGCCACUACACUCCAGCCUGGGCAACAGAGUGAGACUCUGUCUCAAAAAAAAAAAAAAAAAAAAAGAGGACACAGAGCUAGCAAAACAGACAAAGAAGUAUCAGAAAGAUAUGAAAAAUUAAAAAAAAGCAAA
rnacentral:lncRNA from 1 species